UACGUAGGAGACGAGCGUUGUCCGGAGUUACUGGGCGUAAAGGGUGCGCAGGUGGCGGCGCGCGUGGGGGGUGAAAUCGCCCGGCUUAACUGGGCGGGGGCCUUCCAGACGGCGUGGCUUGAGCAGCGGAGGGGGACGUGGAAUUCCGGGUGUAGCGGUGGAAUGCGUAGAGAUCCGGAAGAACACCAGUGGCGAAGGCGGCCCGCUGGGCAGUGGCUGACGCUGAGGCGCGACAGCGUGGGGAGCAAACAGG
rnacentral:rRNA from 1 species